UCUGGUGGGCAGAGGUGGCUACCGGCCUAGCGACCUCUGUGUUUCUGCCCCAACAGGCAGUGGGAAGACACUGGCCUUCGUCAUCCCUGUGGUGCAGGCCCUGCUUUCGAGAGUGGUCUGCCACAUCCGUGCCCUGGUUGUGCUGCCCACCAAGGAGCUGGCCCAGCAGGUGAGCAAAGUUUUCAACAUCUACACAGAUGCCACACCUCUGAGAGUCUCCCUGGUUACGGGACAGAAGUCUCUGGCCAAGGAGCAGGAGAGCCUCGUCCAGAAAACGUAGGUUGUGUCAGGGUGCGGGUUUUUCAGGGGGUCCCUGCUCAGCCCUGCAGGUGGCCUGAGGCACCGUGGGAGCAGAGGAGGGGCCACCAUCUUUAACCACCUGUUCCCGUGAAGAGGAGGAGCUCCCACCGGCCCCCUUCCCAUGUGGGGUGGAGUCGGGGCUGUGGGGUGAGGCAGCGUCUUGCUAUCCGGAAGCCCUUGAGAAAGCUUCCUUCUCUCGAGCUGCUCUCUGGUCUGUAGAGCUGAUGGGUACCGCUGCUUGGCUGACAUCGUGGUAGCCACCCCCGGCCGCCUGGUGGACCACAUCGACCAGACCCCAGGAUUCAGCCUCCAGCAGCUCCGCUUCCUGAUUAUCGACGAGGCUGACCGGAUGAUUGACAGCAUGCAUCAGUCCUGGCUGCCGCGGGUGGUGGCGGCCGCCUUCCAGAGCGAGGACCCCGCGGACCCCUGUGCCCUGCUCCAGCGAAGGCAGGCCCAGGCUGUGACAGCCGCCAGCACCUGCUGUCCCCA
rnacentral:lncRNA from 1 species